rnacentral:rRNA from 1 species
UACGGAGGGUGCAACGUUAUCCGGAUUCACUGGGUUUAAAGGGUGCGUAGGAGGGCAGGUAAGUCAGUGGUGAAAUCUCCGAGCUUAACUUGGAAACUGCCAUUGAUACUAUCUGUCUUGAAUAUUGUGGAGGUGAGCGGAAUAUGUCAUGUAGCGGUGAAAUGCUUAGAUAUGACAUAGAACACCAAUUGCGAAGGCAGCUCGCUACACAAAUAUUGACUCUGAGGCACGAAAGCGUGGGGAUCAAACAGG